rnacentral:lncRNA from 1 species
CGGGGACUCGGUGCGGAGCCGGGGCGCCGAGUGUCUCCGUGUCCCUCUGCCCCAGCCGGCGGCCGCGAUGGUGGAGCUUGGCCUCUCGCUCUCUCCCGCCUCUCCAGCGACUGCUCUGCCGGCCGCGGAGGUCGGAUCGAGCGGUCAUUCAUUCAUUUGUUAAUUCGUUCACUUAUUCAGGGGAGAUCAUUGAACCCCUACGGAGUACCGGGUACUGGGCCGGGCGCUGAGGACGCGGGGCUGAGCAAAAGCAGCCGAGGCCCACCUUCGUGCCCCUUAAAACCCAGCGUGCGGGGCGGCAACGAGUACUGCUUUUCUGUUUUGCACUUAAAAUUUACAUUUUGCAUCCGUACUUUUUAUUUACUGUGCACCCUUACGGCAUGCUUUACGCACCCGUACCUGCACCUCCUAGCCUUGAGUGUAGACACCAGAUCCUGAGAUGGGCGAUUUUUCGAGAAUAAUUUUUACCCUAAGUGGAUUUUCGUGCCACGCAUGGACUUGGAACUACACACACGUAGUCCAAAACGUGAAAGUCAAAAUGCAGCUUUGCCAAGUGGCAGGGAGAAAGGAGAGCUGAGAAGAUGAGGAGAGGAAGGGCGCGCUCCAGGCUUUCCAGCCCGGGUGCGGUAGACGUAGCCCUGAAGGAUGAACCCAGGCUGGUAGUAGGGCGGCGGGAGGGCGGGGGGACCUGUCAGUCAAGUCCAAAGCAGAAACGCGGCGCCGGAUCCCAGUCAGAGGCCGGCUGGAACGCUUCCCACAGGCUCCUGGCGCUCCGGUCCCCACCAGGCGACCUUGAUCCUGGCGUGCUCAGCGGAGCCAGCGCAGCGUCGGGAGCUGGAGAGACGCGGGGCGCCGGCUGAGCGCUCCUGCCCUCUGCCUCUGGGCUAGCCUCUGGCCCGGCCUCCCGGCCUCCCCCAGGGUACGCUCUCCCCCAAGAGCGAACACCAGCUUUGGGAUCGCCAGCAGCCACGUCUCUGCUUCUAGAUCUCUUUUUUUUUUCUUUGAGACUUAGUUGAUAGCUGUUUAAGGAAUUAUGUGGAGGAAAUCUCACCUCCGACCCCCGCCCCCGUUGAGCACGGCCGGCCAGGGUCGCUGGGUGGGCCAGGAGGAAAGAAAGGGGCGGGGAAGAAGCAGCAAUUUUACUUUAAAUUAAAAUGACACAAAAAUAUUUUUUCAACUCAGAUCUUUCUGAGACAUCCCCAGAAAGCGUUGCAAGCUGUGAUUACACCUAAUGUGAGAGCAUGAACUAAUUUAAGAGGUGAGAGCUGCAUAAUGAGGCUGCCUCCCGUGUAGCAGCCAAGACUGGCAGCUCUGGCGGCGCGCUGGAGGGGACCGGGAGGGGCACCCUUGUAGAACCAGUCCCUGGCGCCCUGGGAUCUUCUCAGUGCCCUGGCGCUGUGUUGUCGGUCACUCCACAGAUAUUACAGGGUGCCUCCUGAAUGCCGGGUUGCAAUCAAGAGCAAGAGAUGGGGCGAGUGAAAGAGCCUGUUUUCAGGAGCUCAGCAUCAGGAUGACGAUUACCUAGAGGGAGGUGGUGGCCAGCCUCCCCCUCUUCUCUUCAUGCUGAGGCUCUGGUGGGCAGUGCCCAAGCCUGAACUGCCAUCUGUAUGCCAGUGGUUACCCAACUUGUAUUUUCAGUCUUAGCCUCUCUCUGGUCCAGACUUGUCAUUCUAAGGGCCCUUUUUCACUGACUCACAUUGUCUCCUCCCUCCCUGCCUUCCAAACUCAGCCUUUUCCUUUUUCCCUUUCCCACUGACAACAGCUGCACGACCCCCCCGCCCCCCCACGAGGUGAAAAUUCCCAAGAACCCCAUGUCUAACCUAACUCCCUCUCUAUGUCCUGUUGCUUGAGCCAUUCUCAUUAGGCUGCCUGUUCGGAGUUCAUUAUCUCCUAAUUUUUCAUCCAGGAAUUGAUGAAGAAUCACCUACUGCCUCUCCCACACACUGUUUAUUCUUUCAUUUGAUGAUAUCUGUUAAGUGCCCUGAGAUAUGUAACCUCCACUUCCCUCCCAUAUAAGUGAGAUUUCACGUUGAUUACUUCCUUGGCUUUCCUCAUCCCUUAUCCACAUAGCAUGUGUUCAAAAUAAUGAAUAUUAAUUUAAUGUUAAUAGAUAUGUGCUUUCCUGAAUUGUGAGGAUUAAAUGAAAUCAUGUAUAUAGGGAGGAAAAUCCAUUAGAAACCUCAAAAGCAGUUAUGUUUAUUUUUGCUAUUGUCACAUUGUUAGAGUCAGAAUUCUUUUAGCUGCAAGUGACAAAACCAACUCAAACUGGCUUAAGGACUUUAUUGGUUGAUGCAAAAAGCCUCGGGUUAGGUCUUGCCAUUUAAGGUAGGGCUGGAUCCAUCAAUCCGGGUUACCAGGAUCUGUUUUCUAGUUGUGGCUUCAUUUUCAGACAAGUUGUUUCCAUAUGAUAGCCUCAUAGAAGGUACUACCAGCUUAGUCCUAGCAAGAAAAAAGAGUACUUACUCUUCAAUAUUUGCAGCAGAAGUCCCAGGUCUGUUCUUAUGAGGGCAGUUUGAGUCACUUGCUCUUCUCUGAACGUGGAGAAGGCACUGUUUAGAUGAUGGAGGUUGGAUUCAGGUGCAUCCCCUGGAAUGGGGUUUGGCAUUAGCUUCACGUGGUCUAGAAUAAAGGGGUUCUCCAAAGGAAAAUUAGGGUAGGAAUGCUGAGUAAGCAGAACAAACAGAUGUCUACUUUAGUCCUUCCCAAAGGGUGAGCUGCAAUACAUUGCAGACUAUCAGAAUGGUGAUGAACACGGAUGCAGUAGCCAAGAAAAUAGAUGUGUGUUUGUCGUGGUCUUUUUCAGUCUUCAAGAUCUCAGUUAAACAUGAAGUCAACCACUCACUAUGAUGUUAUUUGAGGUUUAGCUUUGAAGUGGAAAUGUACCACAAAUAGUAGAGCCAGAUAAAUACAAAUAAAUAAUUUUAACAGUCCAUUCUAAAAGAUUUCUUUGGUAAUAUUCUGUUGGAAUUGAUUUCUAUCUUUUCAUUUGUUAGGUUCCUGGAAAGUGAAAAUUUCAUUUCUUUGUGGACAGGUACCUAAAAUGUCUCAUUAUUCAUCAAUUAAUGAAAAACAAAUGAAAAUUUGAGAGAGAUAUUCUGAAGAAUAAAAGGAUCAAGUUGGGUCAUUUCUAAAAUCUCAGAGACCUAAUAGGAUGGGGUCUUAGAGAAACAUCUUUUGAGCCACAGACUUCUUUGUUACCAGAAGGAAAAUGAAAGAAGAAAUUUAAAUACCACUUGAAGAGAGAGAGUGUGAAGAAAUGACCCUGAAAAGCCUCUGGCAGAGGAUUCUUCUUUCAGGAUGGUGUCGCCUCCUCAGCAGCCCAUCCUCCUCCCCUGGACUCAAGCUCUCAUUCCAGUAACACUCCUUCCUCCUUCUCCAUCUUCAGGGGGAGGUUUGCCAGUCGGUGGGUUCUAAGCAUAUCUCGCUGAUUCCCCCCAACCCUGCCGACACCUCUGUAGGUCGUCCCUUCAUUAAAAUCUCUCCAUUUGAACUAUCUGAGUUUAAUUCCAUUUCCUCCUGGUAUCUCAGUGAUACACGGUAUCAGUACAAAAAUCUCGCUUCACCUUCAGAACCAACAGAUUUGAGACAUUUUAUCCUCUGUGGAACCAUUAGUUAUUUUGUCAUUGGUUGUAUCAGAAAAAAAAAUCAGGAAUGCAAAUCCUUCUUUAUUACAGAUUCAGAUUUGCAUAUUACCAAUGUUAUAUAUUUUAAACAAAACUAUUCAUCAUAAGUUUUAAAAAUUAACUACUGGAGUAGUUAAUGAAUCUGAAUGUAAUUAUGUAGCUUUCAUAAUAUUAAAGUAAAAAUACUAAAAGAAGUAUUUCUUAAAGAAGCAAAUGCUCAAUCUCCAAGUAAAUUUUAUUCUAUGCUCUUCCGGUAUAAGAAUAUGUUAAUAUCUUGAAAAAUAUCAUAUUAUUUUGUGAACUCAUAAAGCUAUUUUGAGUUUUUGUAAAAUGAAAACCUUACCAAAAUGUAUUUUAUUGUUGGAAAGCUUGACCGUUACUGCUGUUUAAUUUUUUGAGCUUGUAAACUUUAUUUGUGCAUGUUUUCAACAAAGAAGGAUUUUAUUGUUAUUACAUAAAACAGGUGAUUUCUAGAUUUUAAAAUCACAAAUUGAAAGCAAGGCACAAUAAUAUAUAUUUCAAGAUAUAGGUACUUAGGAGGCAUCCUUUUAGUCAUCUGUUCAAUGUAGCCAUCUAUUUUACACCUACUGUCUACUAUUGUUUGAGGUCCUUGCCAAAGUAUUGCAGGCUAGUUAGGAAACAUAAAACAAUUAGAAAGUAAUCUAUGACAAGUAAGCUAUCUAUAAAUGGCAAUGAAGGGUAGAACAAAUUCAAUGAAAAUAUCUAUUUAAUCCUAGUGUUUACUGGUCUAGAAGAAUAGGCUGAGUAAAUUAGUAUUUCUCUGGCUGUUGUGGUAACACAUUGCAUGCUAUAACAGUUUUAAGUAAUUACAGGUGCAUUGAAAUUUAUCUAUGGCUUUGUCAUCAUAUUCUAAAAUGUCAUGAGUACUUUUUUCUGACCUCAAUUACUAUGAAAUUGGUUUCCAAUAUUUAAUUAACCAAGAAUAUCAAGUCUAUAGGGUAUUAUUAAGGUGAGACUUCUGUAGCCUUUUCAAUAAAGACCAGAAUUUUGGAGUGCCUUGAACCUUAAUCAUUGAUCUUUAAUUCUUAUUAAGUCAACUGCCCACCUUUUAAAGACUGAGGCCCAGGAAGAGUAAGUUUCUCUGAGACAAUGCAUACAGUACAGUGCUUCUUGGGUAUUGGCUCUAAGACCAGAUGCAAAGAAAGGCUAAAAUCCCAUUUCAUUGUUCAUUAGGUGAGAACCCUUUGUUAAGCUGUGUAACCUCUGUGCAUAGUUUCCUCAUCAGCAAAGUCAGAAAAAGUAUGUACCUGAAGGACUGAUUGUAAGGCUGGGAUGAGAGAAUCCAUGUGAUCAGCCCUCACCAACAGGUGCUGCCCAGUUCAUGAGUGCUGCUGCUGUCCUGCCCAAGUACCCAGCUUGCAGAGUGCCAGAGUUAGAGUCCCAGGGGUGUUCUCCACAGCUGCAUGCUUGAUCCAGGCCUAUCAGGUGAGUUGGCUCUUGGCUAGUGGUUUUUCUUCUCUUGCUGUACAAAAGUCCAGACAGUAAUGUCUUUUUUUCAUUUUUAUAGAUAUAUUCCAUUGAAAGUCCUCAUUCUCAAAUUUAAAACAAAGACUUUUUGUGUACCUCAAUAGCAAUGCACACACAGUUGGCUUCACAAACAUAUUGUACAUUUCUUUUUUUCAUAUUUAUUCAACAAAUGUAUAUUGACUACCCACCGUGUGACAGGUGUUAUUUGUUGACGGAACCAGGCAUCAUCAGCAAACAAAACUGACAAAGCUUCCUGCCCUCUGUGGAAGGCAUCUGAGGAAGAGACUGGAUUUUGUAGCAACAUGUUAUUCUCAUUAUAAACUUUAUCAUUGGAAUACUAAAGCCAAAUCAUCCCCCAUCUCCUUGAUCAGGAUACCCACUUAAUCUAGGCAGCUACACAAUUGUGAGAGCCUUUGUUUUUUUCUGCUGAAACAUCCUUAAAAAGAUACCUCACAACCCAAGAUUUGGCUUUUCUUAAAUACGAUUUUUAAUUUUUUUCAUUUCUAUCUAGAGAUUUAAUUGGAAAUGGAAAAUCAUCAAUUUUCCAAUUAAAUGUCUGUUCCAAUCAACAUUAUACCUUUUAGGUUGUCAUUGUCAUUUUUAAGUUUAAGCAACUUUAAGGAUUUUGAAUCUGGCUGCCUGUAAAUUAAAGGUGAAAGUAAUCA